AUGCAAUCACAUCAUGUACAUAUUCCUAGUCGCACUACUGUUCUGACUUUUUUGGCAGAGAAUGCGACACUAGGAUGGUGGCAUUAGUGAGGUCGACUGGUUUGUGAAGAGAAAUUGAAGAUCAACAUUGUAUUUGGAGCGUAUUGAGUAAAAGACUUUCGAAAUCUCCGCAACUCACUUUAAAAUCCCCAUUUGCAACGUUAUGGCUAUGACAUGCCAUCAUGCGAACUAUCCAUUAAUUAUAAUUACGAGUUCCUUAUCAGGAGAUCACAGCAUUGACUCCAGCAACAGAAGAAACAACAAUUUUUCCAAAAUAAGGCCAUUCUAGUGCAGACGCCCUCUCUUACUACAUCAUCCGUUUUUGGCAUCAUUGCCUUCGACUUCUUAGUGGAAAGAGUUGGAGAUUGUUUCAUAGCUGGAGCUGCAGUAGGCACGGAAUCGUGCAAGGAAGGAUCACAGAAAUCGACGACUAAACAGAUCAAGCAGGCAAUUUAUAUGUAAUCUUGUUAUUGAAAUAAGACCAAGUAAUACAAAUACUGGGGAUUUAGACGAGGUAA